UCUCGUGGCUUCCAGCCCAUGAUAGCCUCAGAGCAGUGUCGAAGUCCUUGCGAGCUUAGAGCUGCUGGUAUACGAUGACAGCAUAGCGGAGGCCCGGGAGGAGUAGGAGCAGCCUGCUCAGCUACCUGCUGCCCUAGGAGACUUCACCCACUGGCCCUUGCAGGACCCCCUGAAAGUCCUCAGUGGGUAGCCCCAAGGUGGAGAAGACACCGACUGGCCUCGUUAGUGUUGACUUGGCAUCCUGGCUGCCUGAGGUAGGACACGGAGCUCUAGAAGAGAGGGUGUACAGAGUCAAAGCUGUGUGAAAGAGAGAGGGACCAGAGAGAUGGCUCAGUGGUUAAGAGCACUGGCUGCUCUUCCAGAGGACCUGAGUUGAUUCCCCCAGGACCCACAU